rnacentral:tRNA from 1 species
GGGGAGAUGGCUUAGUUGAUAAAGUGCUUGAAUUGCAAGCAUGAGAAUCUAAGUUUGAUCCUUAGAGUCCCUG